CCUACGGGUGGCAGCAGUGGGGAAUAUUGGACAAUGGGCGAAAGCCUGAUCCAGCCAUGCCGCGUGUGUGAAGAAGGCCUUCGGGUUGUAAAGCACUUUCAGUGGGGAAGAAAGCCUUGGGGCUAAUACCCUCGAGGAAGGACAUCACCCACAGAAGAAGCACCGGCUAACUCCGUGCCAGCAGCCGCGGUAAUACGGAGGGUGCGAGCGUUAAUCGGAAUUACUGGGCGUAAAGCGCGCGUAGGCGGUCUGAUAAGCCGGUUGUGAAAGCCCCGGGCUCAACCUGGGAACGGCAUCCGGAACUGUCAGGCUAGAGUGCAGGAGAGGAAGGUAGAAUUCCCGGUGUAGCGGUGAAAUGCGUAGAGAUCGGGAGGAAUACCAGGGGCGAAGGCGGCCUUCUGGACUGACACUGACGCUGAGGUGCGAAAGCGUGGGUAGCAAACAGGAUUAGAUACCCGGGUAGUC
rnacentral:rRNA from 1 species